rnacentral:rRNA from 1 species
UACGGAGGGGGCUAGCGUUGUUCGGAAUUACUGGGCGUAAAGCGUACGUAGGCGGCUUUGUAAGUUAGAGGUGAAAGCCCGGGGCUCAACUCCGGAAUUGCCUUUAAGAUUGCAUCGCUUGAAUCAUGGAGAGGUGAGUGGAAUUCCGAGUGUAGAGGUGAAAUUCGUAGAUAUUCGGAAGAACACCAGUGGCGAAGGCGACUCACUGGACAUGUAUUGACGCUGAGGUACGAAAGCGUGGGGAGCAAACAGG